UUACGCGAAGACCUUACCUACCCUUGACAUCGAGAGAACUUUCCAGAGAUGGAUUGGUGCCUUCGGGAGCUCUCAGACAGGUGCUGCAUGGCUGUCGUCAGCUCGUGUUGUGAAAUGUUGGGUUAAGUCCCGUAACGAGCGCAACCCUUGUCCCUAUUUGCCAGCGAUUCGGUCGGGAACUCUAGGGAGACUGCCGGUGACAAACCGGAGGAAGGUGGGGACGACGUCAAGUCAUCAUGGCCCUUACGGGUAGGGCUACACACGUGCUACAAUGGCCGGUACAAUGGGUUGCGAAUCCGCGAGGUGGAGCUAAUCCCAUAAAGCCGGUCUCAGUCCGGAUCGGAGUCUGCAACUCGACUCCGUGAAGUCGGAAUCGCUAGUAAUCGUGAAUCAGAAUGUCACGGUGAAUACGUUCCCGGGUCUUGUA
rnacentral:rRNA from 1 species